UCGACGUGAAGUCCUUCGGGAUGAGUAAAGUGGCGCACGGGUGAGUAAUGCGUAGAUAAUCUGCCUGGUGAUUUGGGAUAACAUCUCGAAAGGGGUGCUAAUACCGGAUAAGCCCACGGAGUCUUCGGACUUUGCGGGAAAAGGGGGGGACCUUCGGGCCUUCUGUCACCAGAUGAGUCUACGUACCAUUAGCUAGUUGGUGGGGUAAGAGCCCACCAAGGCUACGAUGGUUAGCUGGUCUGAGAGGAUGAUCAGCCACACUGGAACUGAGACACGGUCCAGACUCCUACGGGAGGCAGCAGUGGGGAAUUUUGCGCAAUGGGGGAAACCCUGACGCAGCAACGCCGCGUGAGUGAUGAAGGCCUUCGGGUCGUAAAGCUCUGUCAGAGGGAAAGAAAUGUGGGUGGCUAAUAUCCAUUCCGCUUGACGGUACCCUCAAAGGAAGCACCGGCUAACUCCGUGCCAGCAGCCGCGGUAAUACGGAGGGUGCGAGCGUUGUUCGGAAUUAUUGGGCGUAAAGCGCGUGUAGGCGGUUUUAUAAGUCUGAUGUGAAAGCCCCGGGCUCAACCUGGGAAGUGCAUUGGAAACUGUAAGACUUGAGUACGGGAGAGGGCAGUGGAAUUCCUAGUGUAGGAGUGAAAUCCGUAGAUAUUAGGAGGAACACCGGUGGCGAAGGCGGCUACCUGGACCGAUAUUGACGCUGAGACGCGAAAGCGUGGGGAGCAAACAGGAUUAGAUACCCU
rnacentral:rRNA from 1 species